rnacentral:misc_RNA from 1 species
UCCGGUUUGUCACCGGCAGUAUCCCAUGAGUCCCCGACAUCUCUGCCGGCGUCCUGUGCAUGUCAAACCCAGGUAAGGUUCUUCGCGUUGCAUCGAAUUAAUCCACAUGCUCCGCCGCUUGUGCGGGCCCCCGUCAAUUUCUUUGAGUUUUAGCCUUGCGGCCGUACUCCCCAGGCGGGGUACUUAAUGCGUUAGCUACGGCACGGAUCCCAAGGAAGGAAACCCACACCUAGUACCCACCGUUUACGGCGUGGACUAC